GUUGACUUUUGGCAGUAGGAGUGGUAAAACGGUAUGAUAUGCGGCAACAGUCACAAAAAUCGUCCACAGUUUUGGCGCCCAGACGUGGGGCCAGAGACGGCCGGUCGACUCCUCCAGCGAGACCAUUUCAGUGAUCCGUCUUACCAGCGGACUGCCGUUAACUUGAGAUAUCCGGCAGCAGAGCAUGCAGCUCCGGCAAAAGUUAGGACUGCCCUGUCCUGAAACAGUUCUUGCGUGAGGAGCCCCUGGUCUCCUCUUUGCUACAUCCACGGUGACUGAACGGAUUUCCAGACAGAGCUUGCACAUUUCCAGGCUGGGUCUUGCAGGUUUGCGAACCUCGUUGAAGGAAAUCCACCAGCAGGUUGAUCAAGCCUGGAGGACCAGCCCCCUUUCCAAGGAUUUACCAAUUCGUUUGGGCACCUGGAUCCUGGUUCGAGAUACUCGGAGGAAACACUGGCAUCAGCCUAGGUGGAGAGGACCAUUCCAAAUUCUUCUAUCCACACCACACGCCGUGAAAGUUGAGGGACUGCCUGCCUGGAUUCACGCCUCACAUUGCAAGAGAUGGCACCCUUGAUUGCUGUGCUACUAUGUUUUUCUUUUCCCUUGUCUACUGCCCUGGUCACCUUGACUUUCCCGUUGGGAAUCACCACAUCAGUGCAGUUUGAUUUCUGCUCUAUUAUCAACUGUGGGACUGGUCGACAAGCCCAGUGGACCGGAUCUGACAAAUACGUGUGUAUGAGGGGAAGUGACUGCGACAACUGGCAAUGGGUUUUUGCUAACACUGGAACUGAGGACUGGGGUUAUCAACCUUUUGAGGCCCAAAAAUACGGUUUGAAAAAUCGGUUUUCUAUCAUAAAAGGACAUGCCUCUCAUUGUAUGUGCUGACAACCAUUGUAACUCAGGUAUUUAUGUAUUAGGGGUAUAUGUAUCUGGAACAGACCCUUUAGGGAGAUUUCUAAUUAAGAUUGACAAUCCUGUUACUAACACCCCUCAUUCUCUGGCACACACACCCAUCUCCCCAACUUUUGGUUCAGAUUUUUCUCCUGUUAGGAUUAUGAAUAUUUCUACCCUUUCAUCCACUUUUUCAUUUGUCACCUUUCCCCCUAAUUGGUCUGGUACCUGUGCUCCAAUCCAAUUAGUUAUGCCUUUUAGACUUCUAUGCCUUUUAGACUUCUAUCCUUACCUCCCUCUCACUCCCCAUAUUAUUCCACACCUCCUUUUUUUAUUUCCGACAUACCCGCUCCCUUUUCCAUACGCCUACUGAUAUCUCCUUACAUGGCCCUGGAGUAUACAUAGAUGCUAUUGGAGUCCCUAGGGGUGUCCCAGACAGAUUUAAAGCUAGGAAUCAAGUCGCAGCGGGUAUGAAUCUAUCAUACCCCAAAUUACUAUUAAUAAGAAUGUAGACUGGAUUAAUUAUAACCAACAACGUUUCCUUAACUUCACCAAAGACGCUAUUGAAGGUAUACAUGAACAGCUUGAUCGUACUUCUCUGAUGACUUGGCAAAAUCGUCUAGUCUUGGACAUGUUACUUGCCGAAAAGGGAGGUGUUUGUGCUAUGUUUGGUGAUGCUUGUUGUACAUAUAUUCCAAAUAAUACCGCGCCAGAUGGAUCAAUAACUCGUGCAUUGGCAGGCCUCACUGCUCUCUCUAAAGAACUUUCCACUAAUUCUGGCAUUACAAAUCCCUGGGAUCAGUGGUUUGCAUCCUCCUUUGGGUCCUGGGGACAAUGGAUAAGAUCUGUUUUCAUUUCUUUGGUUGUGACAUUUUGUCUCCUCCUCCUGGUUGGUUGUUGUAUUAUCCCUUUGUUUCGCUAUAUAAUAUCUAAGUACUUUACCGCCUCUAUGGAAAGGGCAUAUGUGCUACAUGAUGAGCGCAUGUCUCGUAUAGCUUCUUCCAUUUUCUCUCCCCUUUCCCUUUCAUCAACCAUUUCAAAAUAGAAUUUAUAGGCCCACAUCAUUUUUGUUCAAAAAGGGAGGAGUGUGGAAACAAAAAAAGAUGUAAUUGAACAAAAUGUAUGUGUGUAUAGAAAAUAGGACAGAGUGAUGAAACUUGUUUGUGUUUGGCGUGCGUGACAAAAAGCAUGUAUAC